CAAUAGCGUAUAUUUAAGUUGUUGCAGUUAAAAAGCUCGUAGUUGGAUUUCGGAUGGGACUUGCCGGUCCGUCGUUUCGAUGUGCACUGGCCAGUCCUAUCUUGUUGUCGGGGACUAGCUCCUGGGCUUCACUGUCCGGGACUAGGAGCUGACGAGGUUACUUUGAGUAAAUUAGAGUGUUCAAAGCAAGCCUACGCUCUGAAUACAUUAGCAUGGAAUAACACGAUAGGACUCUGGCUUAUCUUGUUGGUCUGUGAGACCAGAGUAAUGAUUAAGAGGGACAGUCGGGGGCAUUCGUAUUUCAUUGUCAGAGGUGAAAUUCUUGGAUUUAUGAAAGACGAGCUUCUGCGAAAGCAUUUGUCAAGGAUGUUUUCAUUAA
rnacentral:rRNA from 1 species